rnacentral:rRNA from 1 species
CCUACGGGAGGCAGCAGUGGGGAAUAUUGGACAAUGGGCGAAAGCCUGAUCCAGCAAUGCCGCGUGAGUGAUGAAGGCCUUAGGGUUGUAAAGCUCUUUUACCAGGGAUGAUAAUGACAGUACCUGGAGAAUAAGCUCCGGCUAACUCCGUGCCAGCAGCCGCGGUAAUACGGAGGGAGCUAGCGUUGUUCGGAAUUACUGGGCGUAAAGCGUACGUAGGCGGUUAUUCAAGUCAGAGGUGAAAGCCUGGAGCUCAACUCCAGAACUGCCUUUGAAACUAGAUAGCUAGAAUCACGGAGAGGUUAGUGGAAUUCCGAGUGUAGAGGUGAAAUUCGUAGAUAUUCGGAAGAACACCAGUGGCGAAGGCGACUAACUGGACGUGUAUUGACGCUGAGGUACGAAAGCGUGGGGAGCAAACAGGAUUAGAUACCCUGGUAGUCCACGCCGUAAACGAUGAUAACUAGCUGUUCGGUCUCUACGAGACUGAGUGGCGCGAGCGUAACGACAUUAAGUUAUCCGUCCGUCGGGUAGGUACGGUCGGCGAAGAAGUUAAACUAACUAAAGUAGUAAGUUAGUUACGUCGUUGAGACGUUGCCGAGGCGACGACGAGGGAGGAGG